GUCUAUGGCCAUACCACCCUGAAUGCACCCAAUCUCGUCCGAUCUCAGAAGCUAAGCAGGGUUGGGCCUAGUUAGUACUUGGAUGGGAAAUAAUCAGAAGCAUCAAAAGAUAAAUGAAAAGGAGACCAUUUCCU
rnacentral:rRNA from 1 species